rnacentral:rRNA from 1 species
AAGUAUGUCGUAGUCCGGAUUGGAGUCUGCAACUCGACUCCAUGAAGUCGGAAUCGCUAGUAAUCGUAGAUCAGAAUGCUACGGUGAAUACGUUCCCGGGCCUUGUACACACCGCCCGUCACACCAUGGGAGUGGGUUGCAAAAGAAGUAGGUAGCUUAACCUUCGGGAGGGCGCUUACCACUUUGUGAUUCAUGACUGGGGUGAAGUCGUAACAAGGUAACCGUAGGGGGAACCUGCGGUUGGAUCACCUCCUUACCUUAAAGAA